rnacentral:rRNA from 1 species
UACGUAGGGGGCAAGCGUUGUCCGGAUUUAUUGGGCGUAAAGAGCGUGUAGGCGGCCAGGUAGGUCUGCUGUGAAAACUCGAGGCUCAACCUCGAGACGCCGGCGGAAACCAUCUGGCUAGAGUCCGGAAGAGGAGAGUGGAAUUCCUGGUGUAGCGGUGAAAUGCGCAGAUAUCAGGAAGAACACCCGUGGCGAAGGCGGCUCUCUGGGACAGUACUGACGCUGAGACGCGAAAGCGUGGGGAGCGAACAGG